rnacentral:rRNA from 1 species
UACGUAGGGGGCGAGCGUUGUCCGGAAUCACUGGGCGUAAAGGGUGCGUAGGCGGUUGGUUAAGUCCUGUGUGAAAUCUCCCGGCUCAACCGGGAGGGGCCAUGGGAAACUGGCCAACUGGAGUGCCGGAGAGGGUCGCGGAAUUCCAGGUGUAGCGGUGGAAUGCGUAGAUAUCUGGAGGAACACCAGUGGCGAAGGCGGCGACCUGGACGGUAACUGACGCUGAGGCACGAAAGCUGGGGGAGCAAACAGG